GAUGAACGCUGGCUACAGGCUUAACACAUGCAAGUCGAGGGGAAACGACGGGGAAGCUUGCUUCCCCGGGCGUCGACCGGCGCACGGGUGAGUAACGCGUAUCCAACCUGCCUCUGACUGAGGGAUAACCCGUCGAAAGUCGGCCUAAUACCUCAUGGUAUCGUCUGCGGGCAUCCAACGACGAUUAAAGAUUUCAUCGGUCAGGGAUGGGGAUGCGUCUGAUUAGCUUGUUGGCGGGGUAACGGCCCACCAAGGCUACGAUCAGUAGGGGUUCUGAGAGGAAGGUCCCCCACAUUGGAACUGAGACACGGUCCAAACGCCUACGGGAGGCAGCAGUGAGGAAGAUUGGUCAAUGGGCGAGAGCCUGAACCAGCCAAGUAGCGUGCAGGAAGACGGCCCUAUGGGUUGUAAACUGCUUUUAUGCGGGGAUAAAGUGAGGGACGUGUCCCUCAUUGCAGGUACCGCAUGAAUAAGGACCGGCUAAUUCCGUG
rnacentral:rRNA from 1 species